UAAUGCACAUUAUAUAACCUCAAGACUUAACAGUAAAGAACACCAAAUUUCAAUUGAGGCAAACCAGAAACAGAGCUACGGACAAAGUGAUAAAAUAAAAUAAAACAUCAAUAUCACAUUAUCACAUUUAACCAUUAAGAGAGAUGUACCAGAAUACAAAAUCUCCAAAGUCAGAAACAAAUACUACAUGUACAAUCUAGCAAAUGGAAUAACAAAAAAUAACAAUUUUUUUAAGGAGUUUUCAUGUGCUCUGUCUACUUGCCCUCCGUUGAUGAUACAUCUCUUGUGCUAAAUUUGUCCUCCAUGUAUUCCACUCUUCUGAGGUUUCUAUACUAGUUAUCAUGCUAUCUCCAAGUGAUUCCAUCUCAUUUACAGCAUCUAAUGCUUCCUCAAAAGGAUCACAUGACAUCUCCCUCCUAAUGAAGAAAAAUUGAAGAUGGGAAGCUCAGAGAGACAAGUUUAUAUAAUUUUAGAAAUGCAAAUGCUUAAAUCACAGGCUAACAAUAAUUGCCAAUGAAGGAGGUCCACACUCAACAAUAUAAAUUUUAAAAUCAAAAGUAAGUAUGAUUAAGUUAUAGAGAUAAUUGCCACAUCAAGCAUAAUAAUGAUGCAUUAGAAGAAAAAUUGAAGAUGGGAAGCUCAAAGAGAUAAGUUUAUAUAAUUUCAUAAAUGCAAAAUGAUCGAAUUUGAAAGAAUGCGAUGGAAGAAACCUGGAACUUGUUACCCGAAAGCCAUAGAUUUAUGAUUGGCACAAUGAAAAGUGGAAACUUGUUACAUAGCAAAGCACAUCAAAUUCUCUAAAACAUUACCUAAUCGAAAUAAUUAUGCACUUAACAAACUCAACAAACUCAAAGAUGAACAUCAGCAAUACUAAUUCCCAUUAUCAUACACUCAACGAACAAACGAAUCAAGGCUACUCCAAUAAACUUAGCCAUAAUUAAUUAAUCAAAGCUAGUUUAAUAAACAAACGAUGGCAGCGGCUGUGCUGUGCAAAUGGAUGAAAAUUGGAGAAGGGGCUGCAGGUUAUAGAGAAAUUGUAAGACAAAAUAUUUUAGGGUUUCAUAUUUUAAAUUUUAAGUAAGGGUAAAAUUAGAAAUUAAAAAAUAUAGUAGGGUUACAAAUGACAAUUUGAAUAUUUUUAAGUGAUGAAAUUAGAAUUUCUAUCCCCUCAUAGAAGAAAAUUGAAUUCCUUACUACAACAGAAAUUAAAUUUCUAUGGAGAUUAAUUUCCAGCUAGUUUAUUCCAACCAAACAAAAGAAAUUAUUAGGGAUUUUAAAUUCAGCUCCUC
rnacentral:lncRNA from 1 species